AUACAAUAUAUAUAGUAUAUACUUGGGACUGUGACAACCAGGCUGUGAGACAGUUAGUGAAUGUAGAUAUACAAUAUAUAGUAUAUACUUGGGACUGUGACAACCAGGCUGUUAGUUAGUGAAUGUAGGUAUACAAUAUAUAUAGUAUAUACUUGGGACUGUGACAACCAGGCUGUUAGUUAGUGAAUGUAGGUAUACAAUAUAUAGUAUAUACUUGGGACUGUGACAACCAGGCUGUUAGUUAGUGAAUGUAGGUAUAUAAUAUAUAUAGUAUAUACUUGGGACUGUGACAACCAGGCUGUGAGACAGUUAGUAAAUAUUCCCCACCAUAAGGCCCGGCCCGUCCGGUUCAAGCCAGGCUAUGGCGGCCCAGAGGUCAGAGUGAAGAGUGCACCAUCCAGAAGAGAGCCACUUCAGGAAAAAGUGGGAUCUGGAGUGUACAGACGGAGAAUCUCUACAGAUUCUGAACGUUCUAGUAAAUAUGGCAGACCCAAACCUCACAUCUUGCCAACUAUCCAACUCCAUAACCCAUUCAAGCCACAGGGCAAGUACUUCAAGUAUACAGUGGACUUCUACAAGAAGAAAAAUAAAAGUGAAUUAGAGAAAACUGAUUAAGGCAGUCUCUGUCUAUUGUAGAAAUUUUAGCAGAUGCCGAACAGAGAAAUGAUUAGCAGAAAAUAAGAAUAUAUAAGAGGAGAAAUUUUACAAGGGAUGUGUGAAUGGAGGAAUGAUUUGGAUAUUCUGUAGGAAUGUAGUGAAAUGUUUGCAUGUAUUGUACAACAUACAUUUUUGUAUGAUUUGUACCCAUCAGUGUAAUUUAGACAUACAGGCUAGAAACUAUGAAAUUACAUGUGCAAAUGCAAGGAAGGCAGUUCUUCACAAAGUGGAAGCUAAUGCUCUGGUCCCAGAUGACAACAGAGGGUUGUGAGGAACACAGUGUAUCAUAUACUGCUCAUGUAGAGAGACACAGCAGGAAUAGUGGAAUGUGUUCCUAUUGAUUAUGUGAUAUCCCACAGGGUGUGACUGAUAAUUUUGUAACAGACUACUAGUGCACCCUGUUUUCAGAGAGUAAUGUUAAGUUACUACACUGGGGUUUAGUGAAUACCCUGAAGUUUAG